rnacentral:rRNA from 1 species
GGGUAUAGACCCGAAACCCGGUGAUCUAGCCAUGGGCAGGUUGAAGGUUGGGUAACACUAACUGGAGGACCGAACCGACUAAUGUUGAAAAAUUAGCGGAUGACUUGUGGCUGGGGGUGAAAGGCCAAUCAAACCGGGAGAUAGCUGGUUCUCCCCGAAAGCUAUUUAGGUAGCGCCUCGUGAAUUCAUCUCCGGGGGUAGAGCACUGUUUCGGCAAGGGGGUCAUCCCGACUUACCAACCCGAUGCAAACUGCGAAUACCGGAGAAUGUUAUCACGGGAGACACACGGCGGGUGCUAACGUCCGUCGUGAAGAGGGAAACAACCCAGACCGCCAGCUAAGGUCCCAAAGUCAUGGUUAAGUGGGAAACGAUGUGGGAAGGCCCAGACAGCCAGGAUGUUGGCUUAGAAGCAGCCAUCAUUUAAAGAAAGCGUAAUAGCUCACUGGUCGAGUCGGCCUGCGCGGAAGAUGUAACGGGGCUAAACCAUGCACCGAAGCUGCGGCAGCGACGCUUAUGCGUUGUUGGGUAGGGGAGCGUUCUGUAAGCCUGCGAAGGUGUGCUGUGAGGCAUGCUGGAGGUAUCAGAAGUGCGAAUGCUGACAUAAGUAACGAUAAAGCGGGUGAAAAGCCCGCUCGCCGGAAGACCAAGGGUUCCUGUCCAACGUUAAUCGGGGCAGGGUGAGUCGACCCCUAAGGCGAGGCCGAAAGGCGUAGUCGAUGGGAAACAGGUUAAUAUUCCUGUACUUGGUGUUACUGCGAAGGGGGGACGGAGAAGGCUAUGUUGGCCGGGCGACGGUUGUCCCGGUUUAAGCGUGUAGGCUGGUUUUCCAGGCAAAUCCGGAAAAUCAAGGCUGAGGCGUGAUGACGAGGCACUACGGUGCUGAAGCAACAAAUGCCCUGCUUCCAGGAAAAGCCUCUAAGCAUCAGGUAACAUCAAAUCGUACCCCAAACCGACACAGGUGGUCAGGUAGAGAAUACCAAGGCGCUUGAGAGAACUCGGGUGAAGGAACUAGGCAAAAUGGUGCCGUAACU